rnacentral:rRNA from 1 species
UACGUAGGGUGCAAGCGUUGUCCGGAAUCAUUGGGCGUAAAGCGCGCGUAGGCGGCCCGAUAAGUCCGCUGUAAAAGUCAACGGCUCAACUGUUGAAAGCCGGUGGAUACUGUCGGGCUAGAGUACGGAAGAGGCAAGUGGAAUUCCUGGUGUAGCGGUGGAAUGCGCAGAUAUCAGGAAGAACACCAAUGGCGAAAGCAGCUCUCUGGGACGGUACUGACGCUGAGACGCGAAAGCGUGGGGAGCGAACAGG